rnacentral:rRNA from 1 species
GCUGAAUUAUUCGCCAAUGCGCGAAAGCGUGACGGUGCGACGCCGCGUGCGGGACGAAGGCUUUCGGGUUGUAAACCGCUGUCAAGAUAUAGAAAACUGGUGUCGUUAAUAGCGGCAUCACUGAUCAUAUCUA